rnacentral:lncRNA from 10 species
UUUCACUAUUAGUGUAAUACUGGCUUCAUAGAAUGAUUUAGGGAGGAUUCCCUCUUUAUCUUGUGGAAUAGCGUCAAUAGGAUUGGUACUAAUUCUUCUUUGAAUGUCUAAUAAAAUUCAGCUGUAAAUCCAUCUGGUCCUGCCUGGACUUUUUUGUUGGCAAUUUUAUUACCAUUUUAAUCUUGAUGCUUGUUUUGGUCUGUUCAGAGUUUCUAUUUCUUCCUGGUUUAAUCUAGGAGGGUUGUAUAUUUAUAGAAAUUUAUCUAUCUCCUUUAAGUUUUCUAGUUUAUGCACAUAA